AAACUUGGGCUGACGAGCAGAGGGAGUACGACAGGACACGAGAUGGGAGAGUGAAGUGGUGAGAAAUCAUCUUGCCCUUGUAACUACAGUUAACAGAUUGUAGUUAACACAGUGCUCAUUUGCAAGUCAGUUUUCAAAGAAUAGUGUUAAGUUAUAACUUGUAUAAAAAACGAAUUAUAAUAAAUGAAACUAUAUAAACAAAAAAGUGAUCCCGGGGAAACGAAUACUGUAUACUGUAAGUGACUUCAAAACUCAUAAUACUUUGUGAAAGGUGAUUCUAACCUAGAUAAGGAAGACAUUUGUUAAACACAAUGAAAAAAAAAUAGAUCUAAUUGAAUAGAGCAAAUUUUAUGCAACAUUUAAAGGCUGUAACACAAUGGCAGACCUUACACAAAAGCAAGAGGAGCUUCUCACCGAAGUUACAAAUUGUCUAAAGGCACUUCUCACUGCUUUUGGUGGGGAGGUCCAGAUGGAUAAACUUGGCUCUGAAUACAGAAAAGUGGUAGGGACGGACAUUCCCUACAGGCAGUUAAAUCAUAGUACUAUAGCCAGUUUCCUGCAGUCAAUUGACAAGGUUGCGACCUUAAAAAAUCGAGGUGGGAUUCUCUAUGUGCAAAUGGUGAAUGAUAAAAGCGUGGACAACAUCCUGAAAAUGGUACGAGAACAGAAAACUUCAAGGGGAUCUCGAAAACAUUUUAAGCCUGCACGUCAGCCAAGAGGUCCAUCUGCUUGGCAACCAGGAGCACCUCGUGUCGGCCCACGUUAUGGACCCCCAGUAGAUGGGGCUUUUAGAGUCAGAAGGGGACGCACUGAGCUAGCUCCUAAACCAAACAAUCCAAAGCCAAAUAAUUUACCUGGACCAAAGCAUCCUCUAAUCCCAAAUAUACCUUAUUCAGCUUCUCAUAUUGCAGCUUCAAAACAGCAUCCUACCUUCAAACCUAAUCUACCUCUACAAUCUGAAACAACUGAAGCUAAACACAGUAACCAGGCCUUGAAACCUGGACAGUACUAUAAUGAUGGAAACUGGAAUAUUCCUCGUACCAUCCGAGGAAACCAAGAAAAGCAGUUUGCUCCAUAUUAUGUGGUUCCACCACGUUUCACCAAUAAUGCCAAAAAUACGGAAAGUAAACCAAUAGAAAAGACAAAUAAACAGAAGUUACAAGAGGAGGUGCAGAAAUUAAAUGAAGAACAAAAGCCUGUCUUUCGCACAAUUCCUUGGGGAAAAAAGAAGCAGAACUGGUUGUCUACUGUGAGCAUUGGUAAGAUAAAAGUGAGCAGCUACCCAGAGGAGAUGGAAAGACCUGAGGAUGCAGAAGAGUUGGUGGCUAAAAAUGCAUUGCCAUUAAUUCAGCAACUUAUUAAACAAAGCCUUCCCAUCACAACUAAUCUUGAAGUAUCCCUCCAAAGGGUUAAAGUGCUAUUAAAAAAAGAAAACAUGUGGUGGCCACGGGUACAAGAGCUUUAUCAAGAUAAGUACCAGGAGCAGUUGCCUGAAGACUACUUUCAGAAGAUCCAAAAUCAUGACAACUGUGGCAUCUUCGUUGAAAAUCUCUGCUCUGAUCGUUGGGUUCUCAGGCUGGCAGAAGAGGUGAAUCAAGUUCAACCAUCCAGUGUGCUUCCAGAGUCUGGUCAUUGUAAUGUUCUGCCACAAGAGAAACAACAAUAUCAUGGUCAACCACAUCUUCAUUCUCCUAAAAUGAGUGAAGAACUAUGUGCAAGUACUAGAAAAGAAGAACCACAAUUGCCACCAAUAAAACUCCCCUGUGGGAAUUUUUGGGAUAUCUUGGUUAUACACGUUGAAGACUUUAAUUGCGUGAAUUUCCGUCUAGUUGGACCUGAAUACACUGGUGCACAUGAUGACUUAGUAACAGAUAUGGAGCUAUAUUAUAUGGAAGAAAAGAAUCUUUCUCCUGUUACUGGUCCAAGCGUAGGUGGAAUAUAUGCAGCGGGUCACGAGGAGUCAUGGUUCAGAGUGAAGGUGCUAAGUAUUUCUGGUGAUAAAGUCAUGGUCCUCUUCAUGGAUCAUGGAGACAAGGAAGAAAUAGAUCUGACAAAGCUGCACCACCUUCAGAAGAGAUUUUUUUAUCUUCCACCACAGCACCUUAGAUGUUCCCUGGCAGGGCUGGAGUAUGCCAGGAGGGACAAGAGUUCAUUAGCCCUACUUCAGGACUUGGCUCUUGGACAACCUCUGGUAGCCCAAGUCAUUAACCGGCAAGAGCAUAUUUCUCUCAUCCUCUUCAACACUAUGACAGAUGAAGAUAUCAAUAUCAACCAGAAAGUUUCAGAUCACCUUCAGCAUAAUUUUGUAGAACCAACUCUUCCAUCUGUAGGAGGUGUAGCAGAGGUCUACCUGAUGCAUGUCACUCCUGAGGGUGAUGUGUUUGUUCAGAUUGAGUCAGAAACCUACGAGGUGCUUGAGAGCCUUCUUGAUGUGGCCAGACAUCGCGCAAAGGAAAUGCUUGGGGAAAAUGUGCAGAUUGACCUAACUCGUCUGUACUUGGCCCGUUUCAGUGAAGAUGGAGAAUGGUACCGAGCAGCUCCAAGGAGUAACAUAGAUCAAGAUGGCAAGGUUCAGAUGUGGUUUGUGGACUUUGGUAACUCAGACCAAGUGGAUUCUACGAACAUAAGGCUACUGGAGAGUGACCAGCUAAAGAAAAUCCCACACCAGGCUUUGCAGUGUCGUCUACACAAUGUCCCAUCAACCACAGAACUUCAGUGGACUAUUAGAGCUUGUCAACGCCUAAUAGAAUUAUCACCAGAAGAUGUACCUCUGCUUCUCAGGGUGCAUACUGCUGGGACAAAUGGUGGUCCUCCCAUGGUGGAGUUGUUUAAGAGGAUUCAACCGCAGAAUGAGUUGGUUUCUAUCAAUGCAACUCUAAGCAUGGACACUUCUCUUUUUAGUUGUGAUGGUGACAGAAACAACAACAAUUUUGAAAAGGAGGUAAUAUUGUCUCCCACCCGAACGAGGUCCCGACGGUCUUCCGCUACAAGCCAGUCAUCCAGUAGUCAUGGCAACUCGGGUCCAUCCUCCAUGAAUACAGGUAGCUUGUUUGGGUCUGCACCAGCUUCACCUCAUCUUAAAAGAAUCUCCAGACCAGAAUCUCCAUUUGACUUAAGUUCAAGGCAAAAGACUGCAGUAUCCCUGGUCCCCCAAGAAAUUCCUCGUGUUGGAGACUUCUUUGAUGUCUUUGUCACCUAUGCUGCAAAUCCAUCUAAUUUUGCUAGCAACUAUAUCUAUGAUUCAAGAGGAUAUAGUAGCUGGUGUAUUUGUUGACUAUGGAGAUUGUUUUGUUUCAUCACGUGAUAGAGUCCUUUUCUUCUUCCUUCUGCCAUUUGCCGUGUCAGGCUAUCAAAGCCAAAUUACAUGGUAUUGAAGCUGCCAACGUUGACUGGAGUACUGAGGAUUCCUGUCGAUUCCAAGCAUUGACAGAAAACCGUGAAUUUGUGUCAGUGGUGAAGGAAAUUGAGGGGGAAAGUAAGGAAUCUGUCAUACUUUCUUUAAUACUCAUUGAUACCACUGAUAAAAAGUUGGAUGUCUAUAUUCAUGACCUUCUUAUAAAGGAAGGACGAGCUGUGAAAAAGAAUAAAAAAAAGUCCUAAAUUAAUUGCGAAUUGCUGUCUGCUCUUCUGACAGUAAUUAUAUGCAAAUUCAUGCUCGGAGUUGAAUAUACAUUGACAUUUAAGUGAAAGGAAUGGUGCUCUUAUGUUAGUUACUAUAACAGUGAUAUGUCUAGGAAAGUGCAGUGGUUAUUUUGACCACUUUAUAUAACAGGAAAGGAUAGUGGUUUUCUUUUUUUUUUUAUAAAGUAUUUUUAUAACCUAUUUACUAAGUAUACAUUAGGCAAGUUAUGGCAUCUGUUAUCGAUGCUCAAGCUGCCUUGUUGAUAACUAAAAAUUUUCAUAAAGAAUAGAUUUAUUUCUCUUAACAUAUAAACCAAAAACUUGUGAUCACUAAACUUGCAGCUCACUUAUAGCUGGGUUAAGUCUUAGUAGAAUUUGCAAAGUGGUGCCUAUUUUGUGAAUAUCUUUUGAUUAUGCUGUAACUGGAGAAAUGUAUAUUUAGCUCAGGAGUUUUUCUUUACCCAUGUUUUUUAUGUAUGCAAUAAUAACCAUACAUAUUUCUCGCAGUAAUAAUUUGUGUUUUACAGUACAGUAUCUCAGUAGAUCUAAUUCAAUAUCAAUAGCAGUGCAUGUAGGAUGACUCAGAAUAUCUUCUUUAUGAUUACAUUAUUGAGGAGUUGUUGGAUAUGAGUAUUCUAGUAACUCAAAAUUUUUAACCAAAAGGCCUUGAUUCAACUCCCACUUGAGAGUUCUACUCCCAAAUCUGUGUCGAGUUAAUCAUUGGUAUUGUGUACACCCACGACUAGCUCCUUUGUAUCUAGGAGCUUCUAAAAGCAGUCAUUGGGAAGUUAAGGAUGACAUUGUAAGGAAGAUUUGUGCUGACCCAUAAUUUGUGAAUUGCUUUGGUUUGGUAUAAGGCUAAUACAAUGCUUAAAAAAAAAAGUAAUAUCUGCAGUAUAUAUAAAAAUAUCCUACAUAAAAAUAGCAAACUUCAGUAUUUAAAAAUGUGAAAAAAAAUAAAGUGAAUAAGCAUGAUGUAUUUUUUCUGUUUCUGGUUAAAUGUUGUGUUUAUUUAUCCAUUUAGAGAAACAGGUGUAACUAGUCUGGUCUAGUCAUUAUAGACCAAAUAACUUCAAUCCAAGACAUAGCAAUGGUAUAAAGCAGUAUUUUUGUUGUCAGAAAAUAUAAUCAUUGACCAUGGAUUACUUUGCUAUAGUUGCUAUAGUGUGAACCUGAAAAUGUAUCACUAUGCUCUAGUUCCAUGAAAACCAUUACGUAUAGUAAAAUAUUUUAUUUGCUUGUUUUGUUAAUAAAGGGGGCCCCCAAAUUCGCGGUCCUCUAUUAUUCACGGAUGACACCCUGGAUAUACCUAAGAAUGUCCUGUGGGUAGCUUUAAAGUUGCCGGAAUUUUCACGGCUGGGACAGGGAGCCAUUUGUUCUAGAGACAGUAAUUUUCUUUACCUGUAUUAUAAAUAUGUGUGUAGACACACACACCAAACACGUACUACAAUUAAAUAAUUGGAAAAUCCUCUCACAAAU
rnacentral:misc_RNA from 1 species